UAAAAGAAUAGCCGAUCACCACACAUAUGAUUUGAAGCACCAUUAUCUAGAUACCAUAUCUUCUCUGUAUCUUGAUUAGCUUCGAACAUAGCAGUGUUUAUUUUCUUUUCAUUAAGAUAGACAACCUCGUGUACCAUCAACUCAUCAGCAUCUUGAGUGUCAUCGUCCUUUCUCUCCACGGUUUCUUGAAGCUUAAGCUUCUUGUCCGGACAAUCAGUCGCAUAGUGACCUUGUUUAUCGCAGCUGAAACACGUGAUGUGAGAUAUGUCUCCACUUUGACGUUGUUUGAAUGCUUCUCUUUGACUUUGAUAUGUUGAUCCGGUACGGCCACGGCCCCUACCUCGCCAGUUAGAUCUACC
rnacentral:lncRNA from 1 species